AGGAUCUUGCGCAUUAUUUCCAUGUCAAAAUGGUGGCCAGUGUCUCCCCACAAAUAGUGGUGGUUAUGUUUGCCAGUGUGUGAGUGGAUUUACCGGCACUAACUGCGAGACCCCAGGAUCAUGUGCAUUAUUUCCGUGUCAAAAUGGUGGCCAAUGUCUCCCCACAACUAGUGGUUAUGUUUGCCAGUGUGUGAGUGGAUUUACAGGCACUAACUGCGAGACCCCAGGAUCUUGCGCAUUAUUUCCGUGUCAAAAUGGUGGCCAGUGUCUCCCCACAAAUAGUGGUGGUUAUGUUUGCCAGUGUGCGAGUGGAUUUACCGGCAC